rnacentral:tRNA from 1 species
GAUAGUGUGGCCAAGUGGUCUAAGGCGCUCCAAUCUCUUUGGGGGCGUGGGUUCGAAUUCCACUGCUGUCA